rnacentral:tRNA from 1 species
GCCACAGGAGCUCUGUGGUUAAGCGUUUGGCUGCUAACCAAAAGGUUGGCAGUUCGAAUCCACCAAUGGCU